AAUAAUAGUUAUUUUUUCUUACUGAUUUUUCAACUUUGUUUUUGCUCCCUUUCUCCAAAUUUCUUAGAUUUGGUUCUAUCUAAUUACCUUGGACCCAUUGAUUGCAGAAAGAUAUUCAUAGGGGGUUUAGCGAGAGAAAUGACUAUUGCGCAAUUCAUCAAACACUUAGAAAUCGUGGAGAAGACAGUUCAGGUUUGGCAUUUGGAUAGGAGGGAAUCACAGGUAUAUUGGUUUAAGGUGGAGUUUCUUCUACAGUGGCAACACAUGAAGGGUUGGAAACUUCCAUUAGUUGGAAAUCGAAAAUGCAAGAGUAUUUUAAGAUUUACCGCAUCAAACUUUAGGUAUCAAUGACAUUGGUUACCACUCUCUUCUAAUAUAUUGUCUUUAAAAUACAGGACAAAGAAAAUGUUUCCAGGCCUUGAAGGUUUUCCCAAUCAUACUGAAAAUGCUACUGAUGUACACGAUGGGAUGGAUAGGCUAUCAAAAUUACUUGACGGCAUAAGUUCUGUGCACAAUGAAGCGGUUUUUAUAGGAUAUUUAUUAAUAACCAUAAUAAUUGAUGAUCCAGUUUCAUUGGAAACAAGAUUGAAUGUUGUUGUGAAUCAUUAUUCGUUGUUUCAGGUUCCUAUAUCUAUAAACUAUAGACUGCUUGAUGAUCAAAGAGAGGGAGUGAGGUUUUGACAUGGUUUUCUCAACAACGAUCAUGGAGGCAUACUUGGAGAUGACAUGUGAGUUGCAAAUUGUAUCCGCCUUCUCUUUUUGGUCCUUCUUGGCUUGCGACAUCUUUCAAUCUUCUGCAAUUUAUAUUUAUUUUGGGUACUCCCCUAAAGCG